rnacentral:rRNA from 1 species
CCUACGGGUGGCUGCAGUGGGGAAUAUUGGACAAUGGGCGAAAGCCUGAUCCAGCCAUGCCGCGUGUGUGAAGAAGGCCUUCGGGUUGUAAAGCACUUUCAGUGGGGAAGAAAGCCUUGGGGCUAAUACCCUCGAGGAAGGACAUCACCCACAGAAGAAGCACCGGCUAACUCCGUGCCAGCAGCCGCGGUAAUACGGAGGGUGCGAGCGUUAAUCGGAAUUACUGGGCGUAAAGCGCGCGUAGGCGGUCUGAUAAGCCGGUUGUGAAAGCCCCGGGCUCAACCUGGGAACGGCAUACGGAACUGUCAGGCUAGAGUGCAGGAGAGGAAGGUAGAAUUCCCGGUGUAGCGGUGAAAUGCGUAGAGAUCGGGAGGAAUACCAGUGGCGAAGGCGGCCUUCUGGACUGACACUGACGCUGAGGUGCGAAAGCGUGGGUAGCAAACAGGAUUAGAUACCCCAGUAGUC